rnacentral:tRNA from 2 species
GCGCCUGUAGCUCAGUCGGUUAGAGCGCAUCCCUGAUAAGGAUGAGGUCGGAAGUUCGAUUCUUCCCAGGCGCA